rnacentral:rRNA from 1 species
UACGGAGGGUGCAAACGUUGCUCGGAAUCAUUGGGCGUAAAGCGCACGUAGGCGGCCCAGCAAGUCGGGUGUGAAAGCCCUCGGCUUAACCGAGGAAGUGCAUUCGAAACUACUGAGCUUGAAUACUGGAGAGGAUCGCGGAAUUCCCGGUGUAGAGGUGAAAUUCGUAGAUAUCGGGAGGAACACCAGUGGCGAAGGCGGCGAUCUGGACAGAUAUUGACGCUGAGGUGCGAAAGCGUGGGGAUCAAACAGG